AGUGCCUGCCCAACAGAGAUCCAGCUUGUCCUUGUGCCCAGCUUUCCUGGCCAGUUAGCUGCCACAAGCUACGAACCCAAGCUGCAAAAUCAAGCCAUGAACUUAAGCUAUCUUCAGGACUGGUAACUAUGCAGCAACUGCAGAACCCCUGAUGAAUGUGUGUGUGUGUGUGUGUAUAGGUAUUAGGUAUAAUGUGUGUGUAUAUAAGAAUUAAGAUAUUAGUUAUUAGUCAUAAAUUGUUAUAAUAAUAAAUGUGGCAUCUUUGCCUUGUCCCCUUUAAAAA